GAAGACAGCUUAGUUUCGACUGCGCAGUUAUGUUAGAUGCUAAACUUUCACUAUUUUACCGUUUUUUAACAAAAUAACUGUUAAGUGGUAGAAUCCAUGCAAACUACAAAACACCGUUUUGAAUGAGAAUAUGUAAUUUACUUGAUUAAUUUAAUGUACACAUGCCUCAUUAUUUCAGGUUCUAAUUGAGAAAUGCAACCGUUACAUUUCAAGGGGACAACCUCGAUGACGUAUGAUGGAGACAAAUGUGACUUGCGGAGGGCGCAGCUCUUGUGUGGUCUGUGCUCAAGAUAUGAAGGGACAUUUCACGUAAAAAUCCUCCACAAUACAAACCCUCUGGGACUUGAAUAAGUGGAUAGUCGGCUACCCAGCACAAUGGAUGCAGACAGCCUUCAAUAACUUUGGGGUUUUGCUUUGUACAGUAAAUUUCAGUACCAGUAAAUUAAUUUUCGUAUUUUAUCUCGUAUAUUAAUUACAUAAGAUGGCAGAAAUGGAGAUGAGGGAGUGGAGGGCCUCUCUCAAAACAGGCAUUGCUGACAGAAGAUCUCUGGCUCUUGCGUAGGUAUCACGCGUCAUCUUUGUAAGGAUAUUCAGCACUUGACAUACAAGAGGACAAUGGAGGAGGUGAAAAGAGGAGGAAUUGUUUCUCUCAUCAGUGAUUCCGAAAUCCAGGACAUCUUCCAGGGGAUCCAUCAAGGCUCCGUAAAACCCACAUGGAACCAGUGGUGACAAUACAAGGCUGGAAAGUCAUCUCAGUACCCCAAACGUUUCAUCCUGCAUUGUCGGCGCAUAUGGAGGACCUCCUAGCAAAAAUAAGCAAUGUUCCGUUGGAGGGCAAGAAGAAAUAAUUGCAAGAAAACAUUCAGCUGGUUUUUAAUUAACUGAUUCCCGAGAUACAUUUAUUUAGUAAAAAGAGGGGUACUAUUGUAUAUUACUAUUACAUAAUUACUAGACGUUGUGAAAUUUACAUAACUUUUUUUUGCCAAACAGCUCAGCAUUCUGUUACUGAGAAGAACCGAAGGGUUCAGUACAUUUUGGGCAGAGAAGUCAUAUCUUGUGGAGUGUGUCAUUUAAAUCACCAGAUAGAUUCUUCAACACAGCAAGAGAAAAAUCCUUUGCCUACCUUUUGACUGCAACAACGUUUAAAGGGAUAGUUCACCCAAAGAUGAAAAUUCUGUCAUAAUUUUUGUCAGAUCAAACCUGUAUGACUCUCUAUCUUCUGCAGAACACAAUAGAAGGUAUUUAGAAGAAUGUAGGUGACCGGCGUUGUUCCAUUGUCCCAUUGUCCGUUUUGCCACUUUCCUCAAAAUAUCUUAUUUUGUGUUCUGCGAAAGAGAUAAGUCAUACUGCUUUGAAAUGAGUAAAGAGUGUGAGUAAAGAUUACAGACUUUUCUUUUUUUGUGAACUUUUCAUUUAAGGCAGGGCUGCCAAAAUUACUGUAGGGCAGGUGUCCUGCAGAGUUUUGAUCCAACCUGCCUCAAAACACCUGCCUGCAAGUUCCUGCUGGGCUUAAUGAGACCUUGAUUAGCUGCUUCAGAUGUGUUUGACACUGGCCCUCCAGGACCGAACCUGUGGACCCUUGCUUCAAGUUGGGGAAUGACUGUUGGGCAUCUGAGAUAUCAGCUGACAUCUAAUUGCUGUAAGGACAUCUUCGGACCCCCUUCUGUCAUGAUGUCCAUAUGGUCUUCCAGGAAACCCAAUCCGGGCAAGGCACUCAAACUUUUGUCAUGAAAUAGCGAUUGAUAUGAAGUCUUACACAAGCACUUAAUAUUAACAGUAAAUAUCUAUUAAACCUUAUAAUACAAUACCAAGACAUACAUGAUCUGUAAUAAUCCUGUCAGGUCUCGGGUCUGAUCACAUGUUUCUUUUUUUUCUUGUUUGUCUCUGUGUUUGUGUUUUUGUCGAGCACACAGAGUUGUUUUAACAGCUCGCUAUGUGCUUGAGGUCGACCCCUUCCCAUUGUGGUCCCAGUUAUUACUUCACACUCUGCCAUUAGAUAUCCUAUUCAGCUUUCUGUGUUUUUCUGUCCUGUGCCUGACGGUUUUGGGAAAAAAAAUAGUGCUGACUGCCAUAGUUAACCCAAUGUAGUCUUGUCUUAUAAAGUAUUAGUCUUACCUGUAUCUCAUCUUGUUUCGUUCAGGCUCCAGUGUCUUUUGUUGCAUGCCAGUUUUGCCUUCAGUUUUCUCCCCUGGCUUUCCUCUCUCUGGGACACUUUGUGGAUCUCUGAGUUCUCAGCUAUUCAGCAUCUAUCACAGUUCUGCAGCAGACUUCAGUCAAGCAGUGGAUUAUAUCUCUCCCAGAGACGGUUUCGUCUGUAUUCCCGAGUGGAUUAUAUCUCUCCCUUGCACUGUGUCUACACCGGACCCGACAUGCACGACGUCUUGCCGUGCCGCAUUCAAUGUGGACAAUAUUUGGAAUUUAUAAGGGGUUCUGAUGCGUUUGUAAUGUCUUUUGUCGUGUCCGGUGUAGACAUGGUGCUAGUGGGUUUCGUCACUCCCCAGAGCAGGUCCAUCUCAGCCAGGAGGCACUCUCAGUCAAGCUGUUCUUCCCCCCGGAGCGUCCCAGUCCCACGCUGACAGCCCCAGCCUCGUCACCUCUCUCCCCCGACCUGGCCGAGUGCUUGAGCCUGUUGCCCCAGUCCAGAACUGUCUUGUGCUAUUUGUGACUUUGCACUGUCUGUUUAUUUAAUAAAUCUUGUGUACGCUG